CGGGCACCUUACCCACACUGAGCCAGUCAGAAUUCUCUGUGCCGGAACUUCCGUUUCUCUCGCAGACUGAGAGAGUGGGCUUGAGACCUGCUGGUGGCCUGGUUUCCAUUCAUUACGGAGGAGACCAUUAGGAGACAAUGAAAUGGACACACUAAAGAAUGGAUGAAAGAUGAGAUGAGAGAGACUGGAAAAGGGUCUGGCUUGGCGCAGUUGCCCCCGAAGGCCCGGCUACGCGCCAGCUCUUCCCCAACUUUUAGGAGCCAAUACUCCCUCCUUUUGUCUAAACUAGUUAGCGGGCGGGUCUGUUGUUUACAACCACACAGAUGUCAGUUAAUACAGUUGGGAGAUGGGACCAAGAGCGAUCAGGGAGUUGCAACCCUGAAAGUAAUGAUUGAGACAUUUAUUGAACGCCACAUGUUUUUGACUUCGAGCAAGCUUUGUUCACAUUCCUAUGUGAGUCACUAUAGCCGGGAUAACCGGCCCUCUCUCAGGGUCAACGGAAGUUAAAUGAAUAAAUGAAUACGCCUCUUUUGGUCCCCACCUAGUCUCCCCGGCCAGGUUCCUUGGUGCCUGCCUGAAAUGACUUCCUUUAAACAUGCCCUUGCCUGCCCUGGCCCACUGUUGCUGACUUUGGCCUGGCUGCAUUUGACUUCUGCCUCUCCCAGAGUAAGAUCCUUGCUAACUUUGUCCCGCCACUUCAUUCCCUGUCUUGGCAACCAUCCCAGCCCUGCCUUGUCCCUCAGGGACACUUUCCCUGUUAAGCGGGAUUCACAUAAAUCUUGGGUUUCACAGAAGGCUAGUCCCUCAGGACAACUGCCUGUGGCUGCAUUUGAAAUUCAGAGUGGCCUCAUCGAGAGAAAUUUCCCUUAACUGUGUCUAAAAAUUUCAAAGGGCCAGAGCCCACUCACCCACCCCACUGCCCAAACAGAGCUUUGCAGAAAGAGGCCCUGGCUUCUCUUCCGCCCCUGGGACCCUUUGCCCCACUGGCCCUGAGAAUUUGGGCAAGAGACUAAAGCCUCCUCAAGACUCAGUAUCCUCAUUUGUAAAAUGAAAGCGAUGGCGCCUUCCUCGGAGAACUCGCGGGAGGAGGGGUUGAGACCACCCACGUAAAGCAAUUAGCACAAAGCGUGGCGCAGACUAAGUGCUGGGCAGUGGCCCAGCUGCUGCUAUUAAUGGCACAAAAGUCCAGCUUUUUGGCCUUUUUAGGCCUGUGUGGCUGAGCUUCUACUCCUGCUGGAUAAGGUGUGACAGCGGCCCUGCCUCUGUCCUUCAGGCACUUUGAAAUCCUUUCCGCGACGACAAGGUCCUACCUAAUCUGGUGCCAACCUGCCUACCUCCUAGACUUCAUCUCCUUUUGCCCUUGAGGCCUGCCGGCCUUCUAGCUGUUCUCCAAGGAUGCCAAGCGCCCUCCUGGCACGUGGCAUUUGCUCCGGCUGUUCCCACUGCCUGGAACUCUUUUCCCCUACAUGCCUAUGGUUCACCCUACUCCUGUCUCUGCUCAAAUGUCCCCUCUUCAGAGAGGCCUGCCAUGGUCAUCCUGUCUCAGAGUGCCUCCUCCCUUCAUGGCCUCCUACCCUCUCGGUCCAUUUCUCCUGCUUUAAUUGCAUCACAGCCCUUGACACUUUCCUGAAAUAAACGUCUUUAUUGUCUAAUUCUGAGGUCACAGUGUAAACCUCCUGAGGGCGGGGGCUCCUGGGUGCAGAAUGCCCAGGGCCUGGAACAAUGAGGCCUGUGAGACUCUCUCCGCCCUUCAAUGACUGUGAUUCCCCACUGGGGUGCUAGACCUCUAAGGUGCAAAGUUAUAAUUUCAUGUGGGGCCUCCAGCAAGUUCAAGUGGAGUUUCCUCCUCUUGUUCAAAAAGAGAAAAAGAAAAAAUGGGAAGAAAGGCCUCGGCCGUGUACUCUGAUCAAGAAAGGCCAGACGGGUUCGUUUUGCUUCCCUCGCGCAGAAAACAGACUGUCGUCUGGCCAGGCAAAGCAACGCCACUGCCAGUGUGGCCUUCACUUACUCUGAAACACACGUGCGGGACGGGCUGGCUGUAAAAGAAUAUGGACCAGAGGCUGCCUGCACUCAUGUCCCCUGAUGCCUGGAGAAAGCCCACCUACAGGAUACGAGAAAGAAGCAAGCACCCAGGAGGAUAAAGAAGGACAUGGUGACAUCGGAGUUCCUGGAUCCAACUGUCCUGGAGAUACCAUCUACUCUUGCCCAUAAUGGUUCUGCUUGGUUUCUGUCACUUGCAACACGUGACACUCAUCGUCUCCCUUCAUGUGGUGGCUGUGAGAUUACAAGAGAUCUUCCAUACCAAGUGCUUAGUGAAUGAUCAGCGCGUUGUAGGUAUUACUACUGCUGUCGGUCCCUGCCCGUGAUGUCCUCAGCACCACCCAGCUCUGCCUCCAGCUCCCACCUUGGUCAGUGCCUCCUCAUGCCCCUGGUCUACCUGGCUGAAACUCUAGAACCAUAUUCCUUUCCUUCAUUCUACACUGCUCAUCCCGAGCCCAGCCCAUUUGUCCCAGAUGGUUUUCCUCAGGUCUUUCCUUCCUCCUUGUUCCAAUGGCCACUGCCCCAGCCUGAGUCAUUCAUUCGCACACUCAACAAACCUCAACGGAGGACAUAUUACAGGCUGGGCAAUGCGCUGGUCCUGUGGACGAUCAGCAAAUAAGACAGACAUCCUCCCCCUGACACUCUCUCCUCUGUCUUGGCCCUCCUUGAGUACCUGUCAGACCAACUGUCCUUGAACUCUACUUUCAUGUUACUCUUCUUCUUCUUCACAUCCCUGGUUCCCUACUUCCUACCUCAUCAAAUCUCAGUGGCAAUGCUUGGCCUUCACAAGUCAUCCAGAAGCUGCCUCCAAAUAGUAAUGAUAGAACAAUACCUUUAACAGAAGGAGAAGCAGCCACUGCGGCAGAAACUGGGCUAGUCACAGGCAUCGACUUGCUUAAAGCCUCACAACCUGAGGUUCCAGGGCUGAUGAUAACAGGCACCAGCCAUCAGGGAGGACCCUGGUGCCGUGCUGGGCUGGGCAAAGCAGCUCUGUUCGGAGCCAUCCAGAAAGGUGGGCACACCGUCUUCGGCUCGACAAAUGCGUAAGGCACAUUUGGGUGAAGGGUGUUGCCCGGCAUCCCUCAGCUGAUAAAGAGCAGCACCAGGAUUCAAACCCAGCAGCCCCUAAUCCAGGGCCUUCGCCCCAUCCCAGGGGGCAUCACUAAAAUCCCCACUGCACAACCAGGUUCCUUCCCGCAACUUAAAUAGGCCACACUCCUGCUCACCUCAUUCAACCACUCCUGCAGUCAUCGGUCGAGGCCUCCCUUUUGAACCAUGACCUGUGUAAGAGGAGGGACCUCCACAGGGGGAGAGACGAUGCCAUUUCUGCUCGUGGCGCUAUCCCCGGGGCUUGGCCCACACAUUACCCAGCACGUCACGGUACACAGCAAAUAUUUGCUGAAUGAAUGAAUCCAUACAAAGAGGCACUGGAAAGAACCAACGGCUGAUUCGAUGUUUAAGACCCUGGAGCCACGGGGCAGUGUGGGCUGCAGUGUUGUUUGUGGUGGUGGUUAAUGUUUAAUACUCAUCUGAGCCACCGGGCCAGGCCUGAAUUCGCACUAGACACAUGGAGAGUCUGGAUUCCCUACAGAGUAGCCACCUUGGCGUCAGGGGAACUCCGGAUUAGAAUCCCAGCUCUGUGAUCUCGGGCGUUUAGCUUCUGUGAGCCUCAGUUCCGUUCUCUGCGAUUGCCGGGUUGUGUCAAUGGAGAGCAUUCCUCACCACCCUUUCACGUAGGGACUCCAGGUUACUUCUCCUGCUCAAAGAUGUUUGAGAUUCAGGUAACUCGUGAAACCGGAAAGAACCUCAAAGAAUUCAUGGAUCAGGGAAUCUUGAGCUGGAUAACUUCGAAAAUCUUUGCUCUCCAAGACCUUGGGCUCUGCUAAUUUAGAGGUCUUCAUAUGCUCAGGAAGAAUGUUUCCACCAGAGCAAAUCGCAGAGAUCCCACUUAUUUGGAAACCGAGACCAAUUUCAGACUGGCCAUUUCAGACUCCACAUGCCCUGGAUGAACAGGGGAAAAAAAGCAAGCGGUCAGAGGGUUGUUCUGUGUUGGCUGGAGUGAUUGAUUCUGGUUGUCAAGGGGGAAAUAUAGUUGCUGCUGCAUAGUGGGGACAGGGAGAUGUGUGUCUCUGGAUCCCCUGAAAUCCUCUGGGGUGCUUUCUAAUUCCAAGGCUGGUGGUAAAAGUCAAUGGAAGAGGACAGCAAACCAGAAUGAGCAGGACAACUGUGGUCUCAAGUUCCUCCUGAAUGAAGCUCAGAUCAUCCUAGGAGGAGUCCAGUGGAUACUGAGGCUGCCGUAAGGUUGCAAGAUCAGCCAAGACCUCCAGCUCGAGAUUCUCAAAAAAUUACAACAGGCUCCUGGUUCUCAGUGAUUGGCUUAAGAUUAAAUGAAUGUAUACGUUUGAACCAAGAAGACACAUGCACUAAUAAAGCACUGACCUCUUCUGUUU